GAUUAGACCUAACAGAUCUACAAUUAUAAAUAGGUACUUUUCAUGGAAAAUACAAUCUUCACAGCGUCAAAACAAAACAGAGGACAGAUACCAUUGACAAUAUAUCAAAUUUCAUUCAUAGUAAUACCAUACAAAUACUGUGAAAAUUCCUAGAAAGCAAAGAACCUUGAACCGUUGAUUCCAGGUACUCUACGUUGAUAC